rnacentral:rRNA from 1 species
GACGAACGCUGGCGGCGCGCUUAACACAUGCAAGUCGAACGGAAAGGCCUGCUUUCCCUUGUGGAUUGCGGGUACUCGAGUGGCGAACGGGUGAGUAACACGUGAGUGAUCUGCCCCCAACUUGGGUAUAAGCCUGGGAAACUGGGUCUAAUUCCCGAUAGGACUGCAGGGUGGUGCCUGUGGUGGAAAACGAUUUUCUAGUGGUUGGGGAUGAGCUCGCGGCCUAUCAGCUUGUCGGUGGGGUAAUGGCCUACCAAGGCGGCGACGGGGAGCCGGCCUGAGAGGGUGGACGGCCACAUUGGGACUGAGAUACGGCCCAGACUCCUACGGGAGGCAGCAGUGGGGAAUAUUGCACAAUGGGCGGAAGCCUGAUGCAGCGACGCCGCGUGGGGGAUGACGGCCUUCGGGUUGUAAACUCCUUUCGACCGCGAGGAAGCCACCUGGUUGGAAGGGUGGUGACGGUAGUGGUAGAAGAAGCACCGGCUAACUACGUG